rnacentral:misc_RNA from 1 species
UAUAUGAAUUUUAUCACGUAUAUUUAACAUAAAAAAGACUACAAUUCUAUCGUUAAUCAGUUUAACAUAUUAGAUAAGUUAUAUUAUAACAUAUUAGAUGAGUUGAAAUAACUAAUUUGAAAUAAUGUGUCUAAAUUAUCAAUUACAAGGAUGAUAAAUUGUAUAAAUAAUAUCAUCAAUUACAUUGACGAUUUAUAUAGAAUAACUUACAUGCGACAGUUUAUGAAAAAUUGCGUGUAAUAUUACAUUUACAAGAAAUUGGCUACAUAAGAGAAGUCUACGUGUAAUCCAUAUAAAUAGGAAAUGGUUGUUUUUGGAUGCUGCGCAGUCACAAAAUUAUACAAGAAGUUAAACUGUCACAAAACGACGGAAUGCAAAAGGAUUCAAUGAAUUAAAAGUUUCGUCACUGUUUACAAUCAUAUGUAAUAUUUUCUUAAUAGUCUAUUUGCAUUUUGUUAUAGUAG